AACGAACGCUGGCGGCAUGCCUAACACAUGCAAGUCGAACGAGACCUUCGGGUCUAGUGGCGCACGGGUGCGUAACGCGUGGGAACCUGCCCUUAGGUUCGGAAUAACUCCCCGAAAGGGGUGCUAAUACCGGAUAAUGUCUUCGGACCAAAGAUUUAUCGCUUUUGGAUGGGCCCGCGUUGGUUUAGCUAGUUGGUAGGGUAAAAGCAUCCCAAGGGGACGUUCCAUAGCUGGUCUGAGAGGAUGAUCAGCCACACUGGGACUGAGACACGGCCCAGACUCCUACGGGAGGCAGCAGUGGGGAAUAUUGGACAAUGGGCGAAAGCCUGAUCCAGCAAUGCCGCGUGAGUGAUGAAGGCCUUAGGGUUGUAAAGCUCUUUUACCCGGGAUGAUAAUGACAGUACCGGGAGAAUAAGCUCCGGCUAACUCCGUG
rnacentral:rRNA from 1 species